rnacentral:rRNA from 1 species
UACGUAGGUGGCAAGCGUUGUCCGGAAUUAUUGGGCGCAAAGCGCGCGCAGGCGGCCUUUUAAGUCUGAUGUGAAAGCCCACGGCUCAACCGUGGAAGGUCAUUGGAAACUGAAAGGCUUGAGUACAGAAGAGGAAAGCGGAAUUCCACGUGUAGCGGUGAAAUGCGUAGAGAUGUGGAGGAACACCAGUGGCGAAGGCGGCUUUCUGGUCUGUAACUGACGCUGAGGCGCGAAAGCGUGGGGAGCAAACAGG